CGCGCAGCCGGGGAGAUAGCGGUGCCCUGUACCUGCAAUCCGCUACAGCAGGGGUCAUACCGAACCGAGGCUGUUUUGUUGUGAAGCUGCCCUUUAUAAGUGAUGUUGACGUCUGGGUCUUGCGCAACAGAAAUCUGUGAACCGUGUCAGGUCGGGAACGGAGCAGCACUAAGCAGAACCUUCUGUGUGCCGUAAGGCAGCCUGGGCCGAGUUAACUGUAAAGGUAACGUUUGUGGCAGGCAGUCGAAGGGAGGUGCGCGG
rnacentral:SRP_RNA from 1 species